AUGUGAGAUGAUGUGAGCUGAAGUGAGAUGAAGUGAGCUGAAGUGAGGUGAUGUGAGCUGAAGUGAGGUGAAGUGAGAUGAUGUGAGAUGAUGUGAGCUGAAGUGAGAUGAAGUGAGCUGAAGUGAGGUGAAGUGAGAUGAAGUGAGCUGAAGUGAGCUGAAGUGAGAUGAAGUGAGCUGAAGUGAGGUGAUGUGAGCUGAAGUGAGGUGAUGUGAGCUGAAGUGAGGUGAAGUGAGGUGAUGUGAGAUGAAGUGAG